rnacentral:lncRNA from 1 species
ACAACAAACCCAACACAGUACAACAUUAAUCAACCUCAUUUCACUUCUCAAUCUCAAACACAUUCCUAGAUUCAUUUGUUUUCAUCUCACAAACAACAAACACAUGUUCAUGUUUCUUAACCAUGAAACCACUUCUCUUCAUUCUCUCCCUCUUCCUCUUCUCCACAACCACCAUUACAACCUCAUCAUCUCCCUCUCUUCCUCUCCCACCAACCCCUUCUCCCACAUCAUCACCACCUUCAACCCCUUCAUCAAAAUCCACUCUUGACCCUAAACAAAUCACAGCCCUACAAUCCCUCAACAUCCCAACCUCAAAAGACCCAUGUUCUCAACCUUCCUUCCACAAUGCAACCCUCUGUGACUCCUCCAAACCCUUCCGCCACCUCAUCUCCCUAACCCUCUCCAACUGUUCCUCCUAUGUCUCUCUCUCUUUCACCGCCCUCAAAUCACUCUCUACUCUCACCUCUCUCAACCUCAUCAACUGUCCCAUUUCACCUAUCCACUUCCCUCCCCAACUAAUUUCAUCUCUCAGAACAUUCA